rnacentral:rRNA from 1 species
CCUACGGGAGGCUGCAGUGGGGAAUAUUGGACAAUGGGGGCAACCCUGAUCCAGCCAUGCCGCGUGUGUGAAGAAGGCCCUCGGGUUGUAAAGCACUUUCAGUGAGGAAGAACGCCUGGUGGUUAAUACCCAUCAGGAAAGACAUCACUCACAGAAGAAGCACCGGCUAACUCCGUGCCAGCAGCCGCGGUAAUACGGAGGGUGCGAGCGUUAAUCGGAAUUACUGGGCGUAAAGCGCGCGUAGGUGGCUUGAUAAGCCGGUUGUGAAAGCCCCGGGCUCAACCUGGGAACGGCAUCCGGAACUGUCAAGCUAGAGUGCAGGAGAGGAAGGUAGAAUUCCCGGUGUAGCGGUGAAAUGCGUAGAGAUCGGGAGGAAUACAAGUGGCGAAGGCGGCCUUCUGGACUGACACUGACACUGAGGUGCGAAAGCGUGGGUAGCAAACAGGAUUAGAUACCCCUGUAGUC